UGAAAUAUCAGUCAAAGACAAUACACUCAUGACUUUUCAUGAGUUUCUCCAAAAUACUCUGGUUCCAUCAACAAAUGGAUUAUGAGGACAACACAUUCCUCUCUCAAGGAUCAACAGAGGAUCAACAAAGAUCAAGGUGCAAUAAUAUUAUCAGAUAAUCAAGGAAGACAACAAUAAUGCGAGACCAGGAAGUUUAGCAAAACAACUACUUGCCUCAGAUACUAUGAUUUCUCCUUUAGAAUAAUAUUCUACCAGAAGAUGAAACUCCAUCAUCUUUGUAUAAAAUAUGACGAACGCACAUAUACUCAUAUUUCUUCUGAUGUAUGGCUCGGCUCUUCCCUCCAGCAACACCUAAACGCUAUAUUCUUCUCCAAAUAUGGAUGCAUGCAUGAAUUCUUCAUCUCUCUUCUUUAUCUUUCCGGUGUCUUUCUUUCUCUCAGGCUCUCUCCUCUAGUGUCUAUGUCUUUCUCUCAGAGCUAUGCUUUGAGCAGCGUGACCCGCAGCUAUUUAUAGGAGGCAAGCGCACGUGCAAGUCUAAAAUAUCUUGGCCUGGCUCUCACUUAAGCACUAAGAAAUGGCCAUGUAUAGGACACGUAAAAGCUAACUUCUAAUUUGUAUUUCUACGUUCCUCUAGUACAUGGCCACGUUGCAGCCCACGUAGGAAACUUGGGUUUCUUGCGAUGCAGCCGAUGCAUGCAUCUACCCACGUUUGCUUCCAUUCCUCUCCUGUACGUGUAGUUGAUUCACUAGAGUUUUCUAAACACCUAACAUAUGCAUGCAUAUCCUCUAGAACCAAGCCACGUUGCCUCUUCCUCAUGAUUACAUGCAUGUACCUAGUUGACUUGGAGCACUCGUACUAGGAAAUAUCUACCAAGUAUCAUUUCUACCUGACCCAAAUCCAUCUAGUCUAAUUUCAUGUUAACUCUCUUAAUUAUCUAGAUUAUACUACCAUCUACUACCACAUACAAACACCACCACGUGAGUGCAUGGAUGCUAGUCUCACGUGCGCAAAUGCAGACCCUAUCUGAUUGUGUGGAUAUUCCAUCUAUUAUUGCAGGGAGAAAAAUACAUGUCUAUUAUAUUUCUUUGAAACAGUGCUCAAUCAUUUCUUUAAAGAAAUAAUACAGAUUUAAUUAUUCAUCUUAACUUAAGAACAAAAAAAUAAUAACCCUAAAAAUCCGGGUUAUUACAUCCUUCCCACCUUAUAAGAAUUUCGUCCCUGAAAUUCAACACAAAACAUUUACACUAUUUUUUUAGUGGACAAAUAUCCUCUGAUAAUAAUUGAGACAGCUUAUUUGAUGUGUGCUGAAUAAUUAAUUAAUAAAAUGCAAACAUGAUUUGCAAUCUUUUCUCUUUUUCAUGGAUAUAUCUGCUAUAACAUAAGUUGGCAACACUAAACAUUUCAUUUGGUAAGGUCAUUAACAAAAAGGAUAGAUGAUGGUAUAGCAAUUGUCCCAUUACUAGAUAAAUAUCACUAGUUGUCUUAAACAAGAAACUCUACACAAAUAACAAGUCAUGAAUUAAUCUAACAAAAUGUCUAUUUAUUUCUCAUGCAUCCUCAAAUUUCAUCAAUAAUAUGUACGCUAUAUUUUUAUUUGCCUGGAUAUCUGCCAACAAUAUUUGUGAGUAACAACACACAAACAAGUUGAGACAAGGUAUGAAAAUAAAAUCUUCAUACCUGUCACACAACAUAAAUAUACAUUGACAAAAUUCAUUGCCAUGAAUCAUUUUAGUUUAUACGGUUCCUCACGAGUCUAAUAAUGGCGUAAGCACCUUUUUUCUACCAAUUGAUAAAAACAUUAUUUCUCUAACAAUAGUUAGCCACAAAUAUAAUCGAUGAUCUACUCGUUUAUCCCAGCGCAACCUAAACACCUAGAGCUCUGAUACCACUUUAACUGUCAUGCCCCAAGACCGGGCCUAGGCGAGACAGCCGCCGUGUGCCUAUAGACCAGAAGCCUAUAGUCACGCAAGACGUGAUAAAGCAGGCAUUAACCCAAAGUGGAUCACAAAAACUCAUAUAUUAACUAUACAAAUUCCUUGAUAUUUACAAAUAGCCAAAAUACAUUAAAUUCUCUAGUCGUUUCCCAUCCACUGGUCUAGCCUAUUCUUCUAUGACAUCUUCUGGACAUACUUAAGUUGCAUCGUCUGCAUCUAAAAAAUUAAAGAAACCAAAUAUAAGUACGACAAGUCAUACUCAGCAAGUAGAUACUUCACUAUUCAACAAGAGUAGAAUUUAAGGAUAUUGAUAUAGUAACAACGGGUUGACUGUAUCUAAAGAAGCAUAAAUAGCGUGAACAAAUUGCUGGGGCCAAUUUCAUUGAAAAUAGGUAAAAGAACAACAUAACCGGAUAUAAUGAAAAUGGACGAAGAAAUUAUUGGCGUCACACAUGACCGCAAGCUUCCCAACCCGGGAGUCACAGGGGUGAAAUUUCACACAUUUACGCUCUUAAGAGGGGCACUCCGACGUCGACAGCCUCGACUAGAACCACACAGGUUUCAGAAGAGCAGAGCUCUUUAUUCCCCCAAGAACCGACCACUCGACUUACUAGUGUUGAUCGCUCCUACGGAUCCAUCAUCGACAUGCUUCCGAACGAGUGCCGUUCUUAGCGAAGAACUCAAACAGUCCCAUACCUGAAAUGUGACCGGUAUAAUACGUUUGCCGUCGUGACACCAAUAUAGAUGGAUAUGUGUUUGAAUCAACGAUAGGAUUACUGAAAUAUCAGUCAAAGACAAUACACUCAUGACUUUUCAUGAGUUCCUCCAAAAUACUCUGAUUCCAUCAACAAAUGGAUUAUGAGGACAACACAUUCCUCUCUCAAGGAUCAACAGAGGAUCAACAAAGAUCAAGGUGCAAUAAUAUUAUCAGAUAAUCAAGGAAGACAACAAUAAUGCGAGACCAGGAAGUUUAGCAAAACAGCUACUUGCCUCAGAUAAUAUGAUUUCUCCUUUAGAAUAAUAUUCUACCAGAAGAUGAAACUCCAUCAUCUUUGUAUAAAAUCUGACAAACACACAUAUACUCAUAUUUCUUCUGAUGUAUGGCUCGGCUCUUCC
rnacentral:lncRNA from 1 species